CAGUAAAUGUAGUACCUACAUCCGGUCUUCUCGCUCGGCGCGGACAAACUAAGGAAAAUUCCGAGGCAAAGAGAUCCGAGGAGGUCUCAAAAAGAACAACCAUUGAACAACUGAAAAACGUCGGAGAAACGUCGGUCCUACACAUCAGCAACAACAAAUAAAUAUUCAUAUCGAAAGAGAUUACGAUUGCCAAAAAAUCGUUCAAACUCAUCCGAAUAAUCUGAUCUCUGGAACGAGAUUUCGAUCCUCACAAACUGUCACCGGGAGUUACUUUGAGGAAUGGAGUUGUCUCAGAGGGACAGAGUCUCUGAGCUUGUGGAAGAGCUUACAACUUCUGGACAGCUGCAGCUAAACAAGGAACAAAUGAAGAAACUCAAGAAUAUUUGCAAGGAAUCUAACGACUGCAUCAAUCAUGUCUACCGCUCACUAAUGUCCCAGCUCACCCAAAACCAUGCCGACAUCCGUCUUGCAGCCCUUAUGAUAGCCAGCGACCUUUUCCCCAAAUCACAUCACUUCCGAACACUCCUGGUGGAGAACUUCCAGGAGUUCUUGGAGUUGACAGUACAGACUAACUUAAAGCGGCCCCUGCCCCCUCCUCAACUUGUAGCCAGGAAACUGCGGUCACUUGCUGUCCAGACUAUCCAGUCCUGGCAAUCCUCCUAUGGGUCAGCAUAUAAAAAGUUGGAACUAGGCUAUCAUUUUCUCAAACAGUUUAAAAAGGUAGACUUUCAGGAAGCUGAGGCCGGGACAGUGCCUGAGCAGGAAAGACAGAUUGAGAGACAAAGGAAAAUGCAGAGGAUAUACGAUGAGAAACUGAACGCAGCCAUUAGAGAGUUGGAGGACUGUUCCCCGGAUAUUGAGAUGACACUGAGAGAAUUAGACUCCUGUUUGAAGCUGCUUUUUCCUCAGUUCACACUUCAAGACACCCUCACAACUAACAGCUGCCACCUCACACAAACAAACACUGGAUGUUUGUCAGAUGAUGAAAGUCCCUGCUGUAGCAAAAACUUGAUAAAUGACAGAACAGAGAAGAUACAAGAGAGUAAAGAGAGGGUGACAAAAGAAGAAAAUGACAGAGACAAUAAAGAUGAGCGUGAGGAGAAAGAAAUAAAGAAAAAGAAGCAGAAAAGGUGGGAAAGUGAAGAACUGAAGAUGCGAAACAAACAGAAAAAAGGAGAGAUUGAAGUAGAACAAAGGCAUUCGAUAAAACAUGAAGCCAAGGGCAGAUGUGAAGCAGAAGAGCGUGACCUUCUUCAUGUAGACUGUUUUAUUCAAAACUCUGGCCUUUUGUCCCGCUCGUAUCGUCUGGACUUGAACCUUAGUCCUGGUUUUCAUGUAGAGGAGACGGAGGAUAAUGAAGUUGUAGUUUCUACGUUGUUCGAUCUACGAAGACUACUAAUUACCAAGCACCUACCUGCUGUACGGCAUUGGGUUCAGGUCUUCACCAAGUCUGGUGCUAAUCAGCACCUCUUGAGAAGAGCACUGGAUCUUAAAAUUUCCCUGGAAUCUUCUCUGCUGAAACUGAGCGAGUUGAACAUUGACUCGAAGAGUGGAGUAAACAAAAUGGGUCACCCAUGUCAAAAGGGUCCUAGACGUCAUAUGAUGGCGCCGCGGAUGGAAGCCACGGUGAGUCGCUCUCUGUUUAUUUGUCUUAUUUUGUGUGUUUUCUGUGUCCUCUGCUGUCCAUCCCGGAUCACUUUUACCAGAGAAGCGCUGUUAAACAUCGGACAGUCUUCUUCUGGUAUUUCCUCUCCUGUUCUCUCCGAUUCAGACUGUUUGUCGGAGAUUCUAGUCGGAGCGGCGGUGCUGUACAAGCUAGCACGACGACGGCGACGGGGAAAACGAGCCGGAGCACUCAUGGACGAACUGCUGCUCCUCACUUCAAGGAACACGGACUUCAGCAGAUCCGCCGCGCUGUGCUUUGUGGAAACGUGGCUCAGCGAACAAACCCCCCACCACGCCGUGGAGCUAGCCAGGUUCAGGCUAACGCGAGCAGAUCGCAGCGCAGAGCUCUCCGGAAAAUCAAAGGGAGGUGGUCUCUGUUUCUACAUUAAUGAACGUUGGUGUACUGAUGUCACGGUGUUGAAAGAGUUUUGCAGCCCUCUCCCAGAAACACUUUUCAUAAACUGCCGGCCGUUCUAUUCACCACGGGAGUUCUCCUCGAUCGUCAUGGCGGCUGUUUACAUCCCACCACACGCACAUGCGAGUGAAGCCAUGCAGAUGCUGGCUGACCAGAUACAGACAGCACGUAACGUGUCCCACCAGAGGGGCACAGACUCUGGACCACUGCUACACCGUGAUCAAGGAUGCAUACCACUCUGCGGCUCGUGCAGCUUCAGGACUCUCGGGCCACUGUCUAGUGCAUCUGAUCCCGGCCUACAGGCAGAAACUAAAAACUUCUAAGCCUGUGGUGAGGACUGUGAAGAAGUGGACAGUGGAGUCAAGGCAGGACCUCCAAGCCUGCUUUGACUGCACCGAUUGGGAGCUUUCGAAGCUACAAGUUCAGACUUGCAUGAACUCACUGACACUGUCACAUCAUACAUCAGUUUUUGUGAGGAUCUGUGUGUGCAGACUAAGACCUUCUGCAAGUACAACAACGACAAACCUUGGUUUACACCGAACCUCAGGAGGCUGCGCAAAGUCAAGGAGGAGGCCUACAGGAGCGGCGACCGCGACCUGUUCAGGCAGACCAGAAACACACUGAACCGAGAGGUCAGGAAAACCAGGAGGUGUUACGGGGAGAACCUGAAGAGACACCUCUCUGCCAAUCCUGAUCCCUCAACAGUGUGGAAAGGUCUGCAGAGCAUCACGGGCUACAAGAAACGAAUCCCCCGUCCUGUGGAGAGCCCAGGGCUUGCUAACCAGCUAAACAAAUUCUACUGCAGGUUUGGUCGGUCCUCCCACACAACGGGAUUUCCUGCAGCACAAUCUACAUACUCCUCUCCCCACAACUGCUCUGUCCACACCUCUAUCAUCGCUGUCACCCACUCUCUCUCUUGCAGAGGCCGCGCCCGCACUCCAGGUCCGCGAGGAGGAAGUGCACCAGAUGUUCCGGAGACAAAAGACCAGGAAGGCACCGGGCCCAGACGGCGUGUCACCUUCCUGCUUGAAAGUCUGCGCUGAGCAGCUGGCGCCCACCUUUGCACGGGGAUCUUCAACCGUUCUCUGGAGCUGUGUGAGGUGCCCUCGUGCUUCAAGAGCUCCACCAUCGUUCCAGUGGCCAAGAAGGCCGCCAUCACAGGUUUGAAUGACUAUAGACCGCACUGACAUCUGUGGUCAUGAAAUCUUUCAAGAGGUUAGUGCUGAACCACCUGAAGGAGGUCACGGGCCCCCUGCUUGACCCCCUCCAGUUUGCCUACCGGGCAAACAGGUCAGUGGAUGAUGCGGUCAACAUGGGACUGCACUACAUACUGCACCACCUGGACACCCCAGGAACGUACGCCAGGACCCUGUACGUGGACUUCAGCUCGGCGUUCAACACCAUCGCUCCUGACAUCCUCCAACAGAAGCUCAUCCAGCUUGCGGUGCCUGCCUCCACCUGUCAGUGGAUCACCACCUUCCUGACCAACAGGAGACAGCGUGUGACUCUCCUGUGAAGCUCCUGAAGUAUGCAGACGACACCACUCUCAUCGGACUGAUCCAGGACGGUGAUGAGACUGCGUUGAGACAGGAGGUGGAGCGGCUGGUCCACUGGUGUAGCCAAAACCAUCUGGAGCUGAACCCGCUCAAGACCGUGGAGAUGACAGUGGAUUUCAGGCGAGACCCUUCACCACUUUUACCCCUCACUAUCCGCAGUAAUACUAUUCUCUCCACAGACACCUUCAAGUUCCUGGGAACCAUAAUCUCUCGGGACCUGAAAUGGACCGGCCACAUAGACUCUGUCCGGAAGAAGGCCCAGCAGAGGCUGUACUUCCUGAGACAGCUCAAGAAGUUCAACCUGCCGCGAGAGCUUCUGAAGACCUUCUACACUGCCAUCAUCCAGUCUGUCCUCUGCACCUCCAUCACUGUCUGGUUUGGAUCGGCCUCCAAACAAGACAAGCACAGACUGCAAUGGACAAUCAGGACUGCAGAAAAGAUCAUUGGAAUCAACCUCCCAUCUAUCCAAGACUUGUACCUGUCCAGGACCAGGAAACGUGCAAGGAACAUCUCUACAGACCCUUCUCACCCAGGUUGCAGUCUGUUUGAACUACUCCCCUCCGGACGGCGUUAUAGAGCUCGGUACGCCAAAACCAGCAGACACAGAGACAGCUUCUUCCCCCAGGCUGUUGCUCUGAUGAACUCACACCACUCAUAGAGUCUCAGAGUCAUUACUGUGCAAUAACAUCCUGCUCUUCACACCUUUUUGGAUUUGUCUACACUGUUUUUGCCAUUUUCCACAUGUCCUGAGUGUUGUUAGUCACCUAAAUGUUGAACAGAGGGUGUGUUUAACCGAAGUCAGAUUCCUUGUUUGGCAUGCUCUAACAUGGCGAAUAAAAACUCUUGAAUCUUGAA